rnacentral:misc_RNA from 1 species
UACGAAGGGUGCAAACGUUGCUCGGAAUCACUGGGCGUAAAGGGUGCGUAGGCGGCCUGUUAAGUCGGAUGUGAAAGCCCUCAGCUCAACUGAGGAAUUGCAUUCGAUACUGGCAGGCUUGAGUGCGAUAGAGGAAAGCGGAAUUCCUGGUGUAGCGGUGAAAUGCGUUGAUAUCAGGAGGAACACCUGUGGCGAAGGCGGCUUUCUGGGUCGUAACUGACGCUGAGGCACGAAAGCGUUGGGUAGCAAACGGG